AACAUCCAAUUGUUUUUGGGUAGCUCAAAUUUUACAUAACCUGUGUUUCAGAUCCUAGAGAACUUUGUCCAUUCCAUUGUGGAAUGCCGCUGCUGCCAAAUGCUACGACUGUUUGUAUGGAAAUCAGCCUCCCUGCAGGACAAUUAACCUUUUGACCUCUUCUAAAGGUGCACCAGUAUUCUUGCACGUUGAAUAGAGCUCACAGGAGUGAAAUGAUAAUUAUCAUAUCGCAGCUGGAAGGACUACUGGCUUUUCAGAAUAAAAAUAGUUGGAGAAUGCUUAACCUUUGCUUUUAAGAGCGGAAUACGAUAGCCUGAUCAGGCCUAUGUCUUACAAACGUAGAAUCUCCUGAAAAAUCUGUGCUACCAGCAAAGCCAUGGCUGAAAGCACAGGGUACUGAACCAAAUGGCGUGUGGCAGCAAUGAAAUGCACCUGCCACUGGUUGUAUCUGUGACCCAGGCUGGUCUCGAUUCCAACGUGAACCCUGACCCUUUAUUCUUUGCACCCACUGGUAUUUGUCGCUUACAAACAACACCAUCCACAGCGGAUUUUCUGCCACUAUUUAGACAAGAGCACCUGAGCCAACACUUUUCUUUGAGUGUAAAGAUGCAAGCAGCGUGCUGUCUACUGAAGAAUUUUCCUGUGGAAAAGGAAAAGCAAAGACAGCAAUAGAAGAACAAUGGGACUGUGACUUGCCAUCCUCCAAGGCUGCUGGACAGCUGGAAUGCCUCUCUUCUGCAUAGAAAAAACAAGGCAUGCCACCUGAAAAUCAUUUGUUUUGUUUUAAAAGAAGAAUGCAGAUCUUUUUCGUUUGCUUUGCAUAUUUCUAUGUGACUACGCAAUGCUCGGAUGUGUGCAACCUAUCCACAUAGGCGUAACAGAAAUUGUCUAUGCAGGAAACAUAAAGUGAUAGGUACACGCUAGAGAAUGUUCACAGUUGUAGGCUUAACAUGUCACUCGAGAAAAGUGUGACAGCCAAACUUCAAUGGAGAUUUAAUAUUCGUGACAUUUCCACGAAGAAAAAUAUACUUGUAAUGCAGUGAAGCUUUCUUCUAGAACAGCUUUUCAGCAUGCAUUAUACUUUACGCUUAAAUACCAAACAUGAAGAAACCAACAUUCCUAUCGUCACCGCAAGUUACCUGUUGUGAGCACAUCAAGGUUCUCUUCCAGUUUUGCAAUAUUCAACACACCUGGUGCACAAGCAAUGAUACUAGUGUAAGUAAAGGUGCCACUAGCAGCAGAAGUGCACGGUCUCUGAUGUUCAAAGCGGUAUGCCAAACUAGGAACAGCUAUGAACAACCUAAGCUCCAUGUAUCACGUAAUUAUCAGUACGAAAAAAUUAUUCUCAAAUUGCUCGUUUCUUUGUUAGACACAACCAAAUACAUUUGUAUUUCAGUCUAUUUCUUCCUGUUCUUAACACAUGAGAUAUGCCAUUUUUAUUCCCCACACCUGAGCAAGUUCUAUGUCAAAGUCAACAGCUUUCUUUGCAUCUUUCACGCGUUUUCAUGGUUGGUCGUUGGACUUUUGCCGCCAAUACAAAUCAACAGCAACAUUAGCAACAAGGCAACAGUUUAAUAAGUGACUGCAGAAACGAAUACAUAGUAAAGACAACGAAAUAAAAACAAGGCAUCCGUUAAUUAGAAUUUAUUAGUAGGUUCCUACAUUGGUAGACGCAGUUACCUUUCACAUUCUAGUGCAAAUGUAAAGGCAAAAUAAAACAA